rnacentral:lncRNA from 1 species
AAAAAAAUUUAUGAAAUGUAUGCUUUCACUACUGUAAGUCGCUCUGGAUAAGAGUGUCUGCUAAAUUACUAAAAUGUAAGAUUGAGGGGUGUUACCUCAUUGUGAAACAGAGGAAACACUACCUCUACUGUUUGACAGGUAAGCCCCAACAACAAUAUGACCUCAAACACAUUAUAAAUCAAGCAGUAAAACGGAUUUGUGUAAGAAAAUGCAUUAGUCAUUCACAAAUCAGUGCCUCUAAAGUAGCUCUGCAACCUAUUGUCAUGUAAUAUAUCUGAAUCUACAGUCAGUCUAAUCAGCCCUUUUUAUUCAGAUGGCAACAAGAGAAGGCAUCAGAUUCUGAGAAAAAUUGUUAUGGACAAGGCAGCCUUGACAACUGCCACUGUUCAACAUCCCACGCAGUAGGCAGAGUUUAGGCUCCCCACAGUGGAUGAGCUGCUCAAUACUGACAACUUUGUGUGGCCAUGGGAGAGACCUGGUUCCAAACAGGCAACAGCCAUCUUGCCAUCAAAAAGGCAAUCUUCGACAGACUGAUGUUGGUGAACAGACUGCAGGAGGAAGAGAGGAUCCUGGUGCAGGAGAUGAAGAGGCACUGGGGAGCCUACAAAGAGCAGUGGGAACUCUGGAGGCACUGUCCGUACAGCUGCAAGAUCAGAGCAAUGCAUUGGAGUUGUCAGAGGGAGGAAUGGCCUUCUCUACCUCCUGAAGAGAAGAUUGAGUGAACCGACACAAGACCAAGUCAACACCAGGAACACCUACCACAAGCUGAUUCUGGGAGAAGGGGCUAUUUUUGAUGACUUUUUGAUGUAAAUGAAAACUCAGAUGAAGAUAGAAGUCCUAUUGCUGAGAGCUCAGAUGACGACUGCUAUGCUUUCUGAAAUCAUACACAACUUCUGCCUCUUUCUCUCGGUCUCGCUCUCUCCCGCAGGAGAGGGGGAAGGCCGCCACCACCUCCCUCAUGAGCAGCCUGGGUUCCGACGUUGACCCCUGAC